rnacentral:rRNA from 1 species
UACGGAGGGUGCAAGCGUUAUCCGGAUUCACUGGGUUUAAAGGGUGCGUAGGCGGGCAGGUAAGUCAGUGGUGAAAUCUUUGGGCUUAACCCGAAAACUGCCAUUGAUACUAUUUGUCUUGAAUAUUGUGGAGGUCAGCGGAAUAUGUCAUGUAGCGGUGAAAUGCUUAGAUAUGACAUAGAACACCAAUUGCGAAGGCAGCUGGCUACACAUAUAUUGACACUGAUGCACGAAAGCGUGGGGAUCAAACAGG